UGAAAAACCAGAUUCAUGCACAACACAGAAUACUGUACAAGAUGCUCUCACUAUCAUAUUUGGUCCUGACAAGAAUGGUAGAUCAUUAGCUAAUGGGAGGGGAGUAACUAAUACAAAGUUAGCUAUUCUAAGAGCAAGAGAUGACCAUAUUUCACAAUUGGAAUCAAGUCAAUGUGAGAUGAAGAAUAAAAUGUCUGAGAUGAUGAAUCUUAUUAAUACUAUUGCAAAAAGUGUAAACAUUCAGGGGUUUACUCAACCAAGUGAAGCGGAGUCACACAUGCCUUCUCCUAUGAGUGUUAAUAAUCUGAAGUUCACUCCUGAAAACAAUGCUUGCAAUUUACUUGAUUGGAAUGGAAGUGGAGAAAUUGUUG